rnacentral:rRNA from 2 species
GACGUAGGGGACGAGCGUUGUCCGGAUUCAUUGGGCGUAAAGCGCGCGUAGGCGGUUGCGCAAGUCGGUUGUGAAAAUCCGGGGCUCAACCCCGGACCUGCAUCCGAUACUGCGUGACUAGAGGUAGGUAGGGGAGAUCGGAAUUCCUGGUGUAGCGGUGAAAUGCGCAGAUAUCAGGAGGAACACCGGUGGCGAAGGCGGAUCUCUGGGCCUUACCUGACGCUCAGGCGCGAAAGCUAGGGGAGCGAACAGG